AUGGACAUCUAAAAAUAAAAAGCUUGCAGGCUGACCUCGCAGGGAACUGCUGGUGUGGAGAAGAGAUUGAUGGCUUCCUCGGGGGAAGAAGCCUGCCCUUUUUUUGUGUUCCUUAGGAAAGCAUUGCCUAUGGAUGUUCCUAGCCAUUCCCAGAAUUCCACCGUACCAGAGGCGCCGAGUUCUACCCGACACUGGGGGGGGGGGGUCGACUCGUCAGGUGCGUGUGACACACAUGGGUGACAGAACCGCUAGGCCCACAUUGGGUGCCAUCCGUUAAGGAAAAUCCUGGGUUGAGAGGAUUUUCAACAGCCCAUCUCGUUGGGGUACAAGUCCCCCGUGGGUCCAUGCGGUCUGUAAAAGAAGGAAAUUCCAGCCAAGCAAUUUUGGAGCAAAACAGCAGUCAGUAAACUUAGAUCAGGGGUCAGCAAACUUUUUCAGCAGGGGGCCGGUCCACUGUCCCUCAGACCUUGUGAGGGGCUGGUCUAUAUUUUGCGGCAGGGAAUGAACAAAUUCCUAUGCCCCACAAAUAACCCAGAGAUGCAUUUUAAAUAAAAGGACACAUUCAACUCAUGUAAAAACACCAGGCAGGUUCCACAAAUAACCCAGAGAUGCAUUUUAAAUAAAAGGACACAUUCUACUCAUGUAAAAACACGCUGAUUCCUGGACCGUCCGCGGGCCGGAUUUAGAUGGUGAUUGGGCUGGAUCCGGCCCCCGGGCUUUAGUUUACUUACCCAUAACUUAGAUCCUUUAUUGUUGUGCAACAGGUUUAACAGCAGUGAGUGAACCUAGAGCAUGGGGCGACACUGACUUUUAAAACUUUCCCACCAUAUCCCAGAAUACAGUUCACAUAGCAUCAUCAAUACACCAUUGCUAUAUCACUAACAUGUCACAAAAGGGAGGGUUACACAAGAUUAGCAUAGACAGAUAUGUCAGGACAACACCCAAGUAUAAGAUGAGCAUAGGCAAACGUGUUUUAAGUACCCACCACCCAAAAGUACGAUAGAACUUCCUUUGAAUGUCUGGAGCCUGAGGCAAGUCCGGUGAUGAGAUCUGGCUUCCCUUAGAGAACAAUGAGCCCAGCAAUUGUCCCCUCUGGGCAUUUCCUGGGGUAGGAGGUGUGUAUACAUGUCUUCAAGCUUGGGGAGGUGGCAGGGGAAAGAGUCCUUUUUCCAAGGGCAAAAUGGAGUUGGAAUGGAGGAACUUGGCAAAGGGGUUGAUUUUAUAUGAUUCAUAAAGCUAGGUAUCUUCCCUGACCUGUCAAGUCGAAAGAAUACAUUCAGGCAUAAUAUCUGUAACAUUUAACAACUUUAAAGAUGGCGGGGGGUGCCUGUAAUUUCCAUAACAGGAAGGAGACCACAGGGCCCGCUGCCACCAUGGGGAGGCCUGGGAAGGUCUGACUCUGCUGGCUAGGAGGGCUGGUGAGCCUGCCGCUGCUGCAGGGUGGCCCGCAAAAGCCCAGACCCUCAAGAUUGGCUGUGGAACAUUGGACUUGGCUUACUAUAUUGAACCUGGACCAUUUUUUCUUGACCUGUUGGACUUGCUAGCAUUCACCCUUGGGACUGUGUACACCAGCAGGACUUGCCACCAGGUACACCAGGCUUCAAGGGCACAGUCCCAAAGAGCAUCCAGUGUGGUGUAGUGGUUAAGAGCGGUGGACUCGUAAUCUGGUGAACCGGGUUCGUGUCUCCGCUCCUCCACCUGCAGCUGCUGGGUGACCUUGGGCUAGUCACACUUCUUCGAAGUCUCUCAGCCCCACUCACCUCACAGAGUGUUUGUUGUGGGGGAGGAAGGGAAAGGAGAUGGUUAGCCGCUUUGAGACUCCUUCGGGUAGUGAUAAAGCGGGAUAUCAAAUCCAAACUCAUCCUCCAGCCACUUCUCAAGGUGAAGCUAUGCAGAUCUGGGCCAGUGUAGUUUCCAGUGGCAACCUUCUUCUGGUCUCCAGAGCAAAAUAAAUACCGUAUUGACCAGAAUAUAAGCCACACCUGAAAAUAAGCUGCACCUUUAAAAUUGGAGGGGGGGAUACCCAAAUAUAAGCCACUCCAUUCAUCACUGCUCUUGGCUGCAUACUGGGCGGGGGGGAGCCAUACUGCGUUGCCAGCGCCUUUCCCCUUCCUUGCUCUCUCCUUUCCCAGCUUUGGGGGGAAAGGACAGGGGACUACACACUUUGCCGCACUCCUAGCACUGUUUGCCCUGCGCUCCUGGCUGCAUACCGUAAGGUCGCGAAUAUAUUUUUUUCAAAAAAAUUUAUUCAUUUUAUAACACAAAUAAAAAACACAAACAGAAAAGACAAACAAUACAAACAAAUUCUUGUCAUAGCCUUAUUUUUCUGAACAUUGUUAAGUGGGCUUCCCCAAGUCCCACCUAUCUGAUUUUCAUUUUACUUCAUCUUUAGCAGUUUACAUAUAUCAUAAUUUCUAACCAUUUUUUUCAGACUUACUUAAACCAUAAAAAACUUCACAUGUUAUCACUUAUAAAAUACACUAUCUUCUACUUCUAACCCUACCGCCUAUAUCCACUUCCAAAGCUAUUCUAAGAUUUAAACAUUAACAUAUUUUUUCAAAUAUUCCUUAAACUUCUUCCAAUCUUUUUCCACCGUCUCUUCUCUCUGGUCUCGGAGUCUCCCGGUCAGUAAGGUCGCGAAUAUAAGUCACACUUUAACUUUUCACGGUCGGAAUUUGGGGGGAAAGUAAGGCCAAUAUGGUAAGUUGCCAUUUGCAAACAGGGAUAGAAAAGCACCUCUCUCUUUCUCUCUUGAGACCCUGGAGACUCAACUGCCCAUCAAAGGAGACAUAGCUGAACAAGAUAGGGUGAUGCUCUGACUAGCUAGGUGGAAGCUUCCUCUCUUCGUGUGACAUCAGGGGAAUCAAAAGAAUUUGUCCAGGUUUCAAGAGGGCAACCCAAGAGUGGAGGGAACAAAAUAUCCUGGCCCAGGAAGAAGCCUUUCUGAUUCUUGUAAUAAUCAGGUGUCUGGGGCAAGCUCAAAGCCAGAAUUGAAUUCUGUUAUCUUUGAGAGUGGAUUAGCUUGCCCUCUAGAGGCAAUCUGGAGACAGGAGCAAUCCCUGGUUCUCUGGCGUCAAGAGUUUGCACAUGAAAAGCAUUCUGCCACCUCCUAUACGGCUCCUUCUCCAGAAUCGUGUUCUCACAGUGGCCAAACAAAUGCCACAAGCAGGACCUGAUCGCAAGAGCAUUCUCCCCUCCUGUAGCUUCCAGCAACCGGUAUUUAAAUGCAUUACUGCCUCUGACCAUGGAGGCAGAGAGUAGCCAUUGUGGCUAGCAGCUUUUGAUAGCCCUCUCCUCCCUGAAUUUGUCCAAUCCUCUUUGAAAUCCACCCAUCACUGCCUUCUUGUGGGAGUGAGUUCCACAGGUUAACUAUGCACUUUGUGAAGAUGUCCUUCCUUUGCUCUGCCCUGCACCUUCCAACAUUCAGAUUCACUGGAGUUACGAUCGGCAGUUUCAGUUCCUUUCCUGAUGAUCCCGUUUGCCUUUUCCACAGCUACCACACACCAGGUCGACAUUUUCAUCCAGCUGUCCCUUGCUGCCCCUGCUGAUCUUGCCAAGUGGGGCUGAUGGGGUAAUCACAGUUUCAAACCUCUGGAGGGUGCCAGCUUGGGAGAAGGCUGAUCUAGUGUGCCAAAAACACACAGCGACAUAAGUGCCUUGGAGAAGGCACUGACCCCUGUCAUUUCAGAAGAAGCCACAGUAGCCCCUGAAGCAACUGAUUGGCUGGCUAACGGCCCCCCAUUCUAGAGGUCAGGACUGUGGCAAUCACACAGGGUCCCCGGACAUUUAACGGUCUAUUGAUCCCUGUGCCACCACUGUGAUUGCCUCCUCGCUGCCACCAACCCGUUUCUCUUGGGUACACACGGAGUCCAGACAGUUGUUAACAUUAACAAAUAAUCAAGUUUAUUUUAUAAGCAUGAACAAGUUUAUGGUUUCAGUUAAUUUUUUGUGGCAGUUUCUUAAUCUUAGUUUCUUUACUGACCUAUACGUUCCUAACAACUUCAAACUGAUUAUCCCAACUGUUAUGUACUGAAGUUCUCACCCUGGGCCAGCAGGGGGAUACCGUAGAUAGUUAUGCAAAUGAAGGAUCGAAAGUGACGUUCAGUGAUUGGGUAGUUUUAGAAAGUUGUUACAGUAACAUGGUACUGGAGCUCUAUAUAAGCAGGCUGACUGAGCCCUUCAGUUCAGUUCUGUCCUGGCCUGUGAAUAAACAAGAGCUGUUUGAAGAAUCACUGUGAUAUGUUCACCCACAACUUAACACCAACUAUCUAUCUGACUCCACCUAACAGUUCCUCUCACUCUCUCACAUUAAAACUAGACCAACCCACAGACUUAUCCUCCCUCUUCCUUCUCCAACUCCCAACUGAUUCCUUAACAACUCCAACUCUAACUCCUCCCCUUGGGUUCCCACUGGCCAAUCACUUCACACUCAUUUAACCCUUUCCUUAUGACCCAGCAUGAUGUCACCUGGGAGGGCAAACGCCACAAGGACCAAGAGCCAUUUGAUCUCCAUGGGCUGCCAGAGACACAGCUGGAAAAGGGAGGAGGCAAAGGCAUGACACCAGCAUUACAAAUGAAAAAAUGAGGCGAGAGUACCCAGGACAGCUCUUGAUCUUUUCGUGCGCUAUUUCGGAAUGCUCUCUCCAAACCUUGACUGAGGCCACAUGACUCACGAUGGGUGGCUCUGCGAUUCAGGCAGUUGUGGGAAGAUUAAAUCAGGAACAGGGGCCAAUGGUAGCAAAGGAUCCAAGUGUCUUUCUUUUGCAGCACUUUCCCUGCUCAAUAUACCCCCCCCCCAUGUGUGUGAAAAGGUAAUGGGACCUCACACUGAAGAUGGACGAACUCUUGGAUGAAUCAAACCUAGAGAGUCCAAGUCAAAGAAGUGCCCUCUGUUCAGUUAACAGCCUCUUCUUAAUAAAUAAUGGUAAUAAUUUUAUUAUUUGUACCCCGCCCAUCUGACUGGGUUGCCCCAGCCACUCUGGGCGGUUUCCAACAAAUAUACAGUGGUACCUCGGGUUACAUAUGCUUCAGGUUACAUACGCUUCAGGUUACAGACUCCACUAACCCAGAAAUAGUGCUCCAGGUUAAGAACUUUGCUUCAGGAUAAGAACAGAAAUCGGGCUUUGGCGGUGCGGCGGCAGCAGGAGGCCCCAUUAGCUAAAAUGGUGCUUCAGGUUAAGAACAGUUUCAGGUUAAGAACGGACCUCCGGAACGAAUUAAGUACUUAACCCGAGGUACCACUGUAAAAGCAUAAUAAAACAUCAAACAUUAAAAAGUUCCCUAAACAGGGCCAAGUGGGGAUUCGAACCCUGGUCUCCAGGGUCCCAGUCAGACACGACAUCCACUACGCCAUGCCUGCUGUUCUCACCCAUGUAUACCCCACACAUCUUCCACAUGCGCAGCCUAUAGCCACAUCUACGCCUUACAUUUAAAACACUCUUCUGCCACUGCAAAGCUCAUGGUUUCACCCCAAGGAAUGCUGGG
rnacentral:lncRNA from 1 species